rnacentral:rRNA from 1 species
UACGAAGGGGGCUAGCGUUGCUCGGAAUCACUGGGCUUAAAGGGCGCGUAGGCGGGCUGUCAAGUCUGGGGUGAAAUGCCGCGGCUCAACCGUGGAACUGCCUUAGAUACUGACGGCCUCGAGGGAGAUAGGGGCAUGCGGAACUGUAGGUGGAGCGGUGAAAUGCGUUGAUAUCUACAGGAACUCCGGUGGCGAAAGCGGCGUGCUGGAUCUCUUCUGACGCUGAGGCGCGAAAGCUAGGGGAGCAAACGGG